rnacentral:lncRNA from 1 species
UUUUGUCACAGUCGAACGAAAACGUCCGUUUUGGGGGUUUUUUUUGAUUUCCAAGCCCCUCAUAUUGCUGACGCCUCAACCCCGCGCUGCCCCACUCCCUGCAGGGAGCUCGGGGCACCCCGGGGUGCCGCAGCCCCAACAGGGUGCAGUUCCGCCGCGCAGCCGCAGGGGCCGCUGCGGGGCAGCCGGCUCCGCGCAUGCGUGCAGGGCUGGCGCCUGCACGCUUCGCCCGCCCGCCGGCUCGGCUGAUGCAAUCCCCCAGCUGCGGAGCGAGGCGGAGCAAGGUAGCCAAUCAGCUGGGGCCCGGAUGCUGCGGGAGGCCCCGCCCUACGCUGCGAGCGCUGGUCGAGAGGACGUUUAACGGCUGGCCCGGCGCCGCCGCCAUUUUGGGGCGCUGAGGGGGCUAUGCGGGAGUGGCUGCGCUGAGGGCCCGCCGCGUGCCGCCAUGGAGCCGGGAGCCGCGGGCCCCGCGCCGCCCAGCUCCUGGCUCGGCCUGGCCUGGCAGAAGCUGGCUCCCACCGCCGCGCAGCCCCCGUCGUCGUGGCUGCGGGGUCUGUCUCAGCUGGUGCAGUGGCUGUUGCCGGGCCCGGCGCUGAGCAGCGCCCUGUGCCCCGCCGCGGGGGGGGACCCGCCCGUCCGGCCGCUCCCAGGCUGGGCGCAGACCGAGCUGGGCCCCGAGCCCGGCGCAGUGUGGGGGGGCGGCCUGGCGCGGCCCGCGCUCGCCCUGGGUCUCGUGUCCUACGCGGUGGGGCCCGCGCGGGACUGGAGCCACCUGCCGCAGCCCCUGCGAGCCGAACUGCCGCUGGGCCCCCGCCUCCGCGACGAGCUGCCCGAGAUCCAGCGCCUCCGCAGCAAGCACCUCGAGUUCCUGCAGCAGCACCAGAGACUCCCCGAGCCCGACCAUGGCUACCACAGCCUGGAGGAGGAGCUGAGCCGGGAACUUCACGGCCACCAUCCAGACGGCCGUUAA